rnacentral:rRNA from 1 species
UACGUAGGGUGCGAGCGUUAAUCGGAAUUACUGGGCGUAAAGUGUGCGCAGGCGCAAAGCAAGUCGAGUGUGAAAGCCCCGGGCUUAAUUUGGGAAUUGCGCUCGAAACUACUUUGCUGGAGUGUGGCAGAGGAAGGUGGAAUUCCACGUGUAGCGGUGAAAUGCGUAGAGAUGUGGAGGAACACCAAUGGCGAAGGCAGCCUUCUCGGGCCAACAGUGACGCUCAUGCACGAAAAGCGUGGGGAGCAAACAGG